rnacentral:tRNA from 1 species
CAAAUUAGAGCUUGAAUAGUUAAGCAUUUUAUUUACAUUAAAAAGUUGUUGUGCAAAUCAAUUUAAUUUGA